rnacentral:rRNA from 1 species
AGAGUUUGAUCCUGGCUCAGGAUAAACGCUGGCGGCGCACAUAAGACAUGCAAGUCGAACGGAAGUCGUUGUAAUGAAAUGGAAAUGGACAGAGAACUUGUUCGAAGAAAGUUGAAGUAGACUUACAACAAUGGCUUUAGUGGCGGACUGGUGAGUAACGCGUAAGGAACCUGCCUUUUAGAGGGGAAUAACAAUGAGAAAUCAUUGCUAAUACCGCAUAUGCCGAGAGAAUCACAUGGUACAAUCGGGAAAGGAGCAAUUCGCUAAAAGAUGGCCUUGCGUCUGAUUAGAUAGUUGGUGGGGUAACGGCCUACCAAGUCGACGAUCAGUAGCCGGACUGAGAGGUUGAACGGCCACAUUGGGACUGAGAUACGGCCCAGACUCCUACGGGAGGCAGCAGUCGGGAAUAUUGCGCAAUGGAGGAAACUCUGACGCAGUGACGCCGCGUAUAGGAAGAAGGUUUCGGAUU